GACGAACGCUGGCGGCGUGCUUAACACAUGCAAGUCGAGCGGUAAGGCCCUUUCGGGGGUACACGAGCGGCGAACGGGUGAGUAACACGUGGGUGACCUGCCUUUAGCUCUGGGAUAAGCCUGGGAAACCGGGUCUAAUACCGGAUAUGACUCCGCGGCGCAUGUUGUGGGGUGGAAAGCCUUGUGCGGCUGGAGAUGGGCCCGCGGCCUAUCAGCUUGUUGGGUGGGGGUGAUGGCCUACCAAGGCGACGACGGGUAGCCGGCCUGAGAGGGCGACCGGCCACACUGGGAC
rnacentral:rRNA from 1 species